UACGGAGGAUGCAGGCGUUAUCCGGAUUUAUUAGGUUUAAAGGGUGCGUAGGCGGGCGUAUAAGUCAGUGGUGAAAUCCUAUAGCUUAACUAUAGCACUGCCAUUGAAACUGUAUGUCUUGAAUGCGGUUGAGGUUUGCGGAAUGUGUAAUGUAGCGGUGAAAUGCAUAGAUAUUACACAGAACACCGAUUGCGAAGGCAGCAAACUAAGCCGUGAUUGACGCUGAGGCACGAAAGCGUGGGGAU
rnacentral:rRNA from 1 species